rnacentral:rRNA from 1 species
UACGAAGGGGGCUAGCGUUGUUCGGAAUUACUGGGCGUAAAGCGCACGUAGGCGGAUCGAUCAGUCAGGGGUGAAAUCCCAGAGCUCAACUCUGGAACUGCCUUUGAUACUGUCGAUCUAGAGUAUGGAAGAGGUGAGUGGAAUUCCGAGUGUAGAGGUGAAAUUCGUAGAUAUUCGGAGGAACACCAGUGGCGAAGGCGGCUCACUGGACUGGUACUGACGCUGAGGCGCGAAAGCGUGGGGAGCAAACGGG